GACGGACGCUGGCGGCGUGCUUAACACAUGCAAGUCGAACGGAAAGGCCCUGCUUUUGUGGGGUGCUCGAGUGGCGAACGGGUGAGUAACACGUGAGUAACCUGCCCUUGACUUUGGAAUAACUUCAGGAAACUGGGGCUAAUACCGGAUAGGAGCUCCUGCUGCAUGGUGGGGGUUGGAAAGUUUCGGCGGUUGGGGAUGGACUCGCGGCUUAUCAGCUUGUUGGUGGGGUAGUGGCUUACCAAGGCUUUGGCGGGUAGCCGGCCUGAGAGGGUGACCGGCCACGUUGGGACUGAGAUACGGCCCAGACUCCUACGGGAGGCAGCAGUGGGGAAUAUUGCACAAUGGGCGGAAGCCUGAUGCAGCAACGCCGCGUGCGGGAUGACGGCCUUCGGGUUGUAAACCGCUUUCGCCUGUGACGAAGCGUGAGUGACGGUAAUGGGUAAAGAAGCACCGGCUAAUUACGUGCCAGCAGCCGCGGUGAUACGUAGGGUGCGAGCGUUGUCCGGAUUUAUUGGGCGUAAAGGGCUCGUAGGUGGUUGAUCGCGUCGGAAGUGUAAUCUUGGGGCUUAACCCUGAGCGUGCUUUCGAUACGGGUUGACUUGAGGAAGGUAGGGGAGAAUGGAAUUCCUGGUGGAGCGGUGGAAUGCGCAGAUAUCAGGAGGAACACCAGUGGCGAAGGCGGUUCUCUGGGCCUUUCCUGACGCUGAGGAGCGAAAGCGUGGGGAGCGAACAGGCUUAGAUACCCUGGUAGUCCACGCUGUAAACGGUGGGUACUAGGUGUGGGGUCCAUUCCACGGGUUCCGUGCCGUAGCUAACGCUUUAAGUACCCCGCCUGGGGAGUACGGCCGCAAGGCUAAAACUCAAAGGAAUUGACGGGGCCCCGCACAAGCGGCGGAGCAUGCGGAUUAAUUCGAUGCAACGCGUAGAACCUUACCUGGGUUUGACAUGGAUCGGGAGCGCUCAGAGAUGGGUGUGCCUCUUUUGGGGUCGGUUCACAGGUGGUGCAUGGCUGUCGUCAUCUCGUGUCGUGAGAUGUUGGGUUAAGUCCCGCAACGAGCGCAACCCUUGUUCACUGUUGCCAGCACGUUAUGGUGGGGACUCAGUGGAGACCGCCGGGGUCAACUCGGAGGAAGGUGGGGAUGACGUCAAGUCAUCAUGCCCCUUAUGUCCAGGGCUUCACGCAUGCUACAAUGGCUGGUACAGAGAGUGGCGAGCCUGUGAGGGUGAGCGAAUCUCGGAAAGCCGGUCUCAGUUCGGAUUGGGGUCUGCAACUCGACCUCAUGAAGUCGGAGUCGCUAGUAAUCGCAGAUCAGCAACGCUGCGGUGAAUACGUUCCCGGGGCU
rnacentral:rRNA from 1 species